AAUAUAGCCAGAAUACAUCCUUCAAUCAAAAUGAUCUAAUUAUGUAGAGUCUAGUUUUAGCUUUACAUCAUUCCUAUACAUUUCGGAGCAUGCCAGUACAUUCCUUCCUCAGUAUCCUCCAUGUGUAGGUUUAGUCUCAUUUCCAUGCAUCGUGUAGAUUUUAGUUGACAACCAUCUCUUCAGUACAAGACCUGAAUGUACCAUCAUGGCUGCAACCAUUCAGGUGCUCUGAAGAUCAUCCACUGCACACGACUUCAUAAUGGAGACAUUUUCAAUAUUCAGAAAGCAGGGUAUAUCUUUUUUUUUUUUUUUUUUUACCAAAAAAAAGUUUCUGAACUUCAAUCAGGGCAAAAUGCUUUAGGGACUUCAGGAGCAGUGAGGAUCUACAAUAUUUUUCAGCUUCCAUUGGAACAUUUUUCCCGGCAAGCUUUUAGAAAAUAUGCUGAGGUCUGAAAAUUCAGCCAGGGAACAAGCGCCUGAACUACAAGCCUUAGGAAACCUGCACUUAAAAACCACUGUGUAAACCUCUUCCCAUGAGCUGUCCCUGAUACAGAGCACUGAUCCUAUCGUACCUUCCUCUCCUGAGCGGCUUUUCUUGAUUAAAUGCUGCACCUCUGCUUUCAUCUCGAAACCAGGCGUCUGACUGAUGGGCGAGCGAGUUGCAGAGAUGGAUAGAACUUUCAAGAGGACAGAUAUGGACAUUGCCAUUCCUCUGUGCAUGUGUUUACACUUGAUAAACUGCCCCAAUGUCUUUAAAACCUAAUCUGGAUCACAUCAUGUUCUGUUGCUCUCGUCCCAAAGGAAUGCAAUAGUCACUGGGUGUGAUGCUUCAACUCCAAUCCCCAGUGCUAACCGCUUCAUGGACACUAUUUAAAUCAAUAGUAGUGUUUAUGCAUUUAUGCAAGAAAAUGGCAUUAAAGUAUGUUUUGUAACACCGUCUGUAUGCUUCAUGGCAUCUUGUUUGUAAAUAGUGUGCUGAGGAACUGCUUAGAAACAGAUUUGCCAAUGCGUCAAAUUAUUUGUGAUUUUCUCCGGUUUGAUUUGUACUCAAAUUUUUACUUUUGCUCGAUUAGCCACGUACUUACCUCCACAAACGUGAGAUUUCACUCUUAUACCAAAAUGUUUUAAUAACCGUACUGUAGCUUAGCGGUGUUCUGUGAGCGGACCUUACAAACUGAGCGACGCUGAUGUUAUGUCUCCCUUGAAUUUCUGAAAGCUGUUUUUUUUUUUUUAUUAUUAUUUUUCUACCUGAUGAGCAAAGCAAACUUUUGCAUCUAGGUUAUGAGAGACUGACCAGGCUGAAUAAAACUGUUUGUAUCAUCA